AACGAACGCUGGCGGCAUGCCUAACACAUGCAAGUCGAACGAGACCUUCGGGUCUAGUUGCGCACGGGUGCGUAACGCGUGGGAACCUGCCCUUAGGUUUGGAAUAACUCCCCGAAAGGGGUGCUAAUACCGGAUAAUUUCUUCGGACCAAAGAUUUAUCGCCUUUGGAUGGGCCCGCGUUGGAUUAGCUAGUUGGUAGGGUAAAAGCCUACCAAGGCGACGAUCCAUAGCUGGUCUGAGAGGAUGAUCAGCCACACUGGGACUGAGACACGGCCCAGACUCCUACGCGAGGCAGCAGUGGGGAAUAUUGGACAAUGGGCGAAAGCCUGAUCCAGCAAUGCCGCGUGAGUGAUGAAGUCCUUAGGGUUGUAAAGCUCUUUUACCCGGGAUGAUAAUGACAGUACCGGGAGAAUAAGCUCCGGCUAACUCCGUG
rnacentral:rRNA from 1 species